rnacentral:tRNA from 1 species
GCGGCCAUAGCUCAGUUGGAUAGAGCGAGCGCCUCCUAAGCGCUAGGUCGGGGGUUCGAUUCCUCUUGGUCGCGCCA